CUCUUCAUCUUCAAGUUUGCCUGAAGUGUUUUCCGUUUCAAAAAAGUAGAAAGAAAUGUUAAUUUAUCUGACCGCAAACAUUUGAGCUUCAUUUUGCAUAACUAACAAUGAAAGUCUAUGGGUAAUCAGCAUUCCUCACUUUUUUGAAACGAAAUAACAAAUUAAAGGUUUAAAAAAUUUGAUUACUUACUUUUUUGUGUAUGCACAGAUGCUAUAAGGUAAGGAACCAGAAAAGAGAAGAGAAGAGAUCUUCUUUCUUCUUAAAGAGAAACAAAAACGUCUCAGUGGACUUGAGGCUUUUAAGGCACAUAUUGUUGCCUCAAGAACUAUCUCAACCAUCAUUCAAACCUCCCUUGGACCCAAAGGUUUGGAUAAAAUGAUGGUCUCUUCUGAUGGAGAUGUAACCAUAACUAAUGAUGGGGCAACUAUACUUAAGAUGAUGGAUGUUGAAAACGAAAUCGCUAAUCGCGAAUUUCAAUUACCAUUUUUGCUUGGUAAAAUUGUUCAGACACUGUGCUAGAUUAAUUUAAUCGAUCAACAAACCGUUGUAUGGAUUUAUGUUAAUAUACCAAUACUCUGAAGUUUGACCAACACUCAUAAAUUUUAUUUUAUUUUUCCAGUUCUUGCUGGAGCUCUCUUAGCUCAAGCUGAAUUACUACUCGAUAAAGGGCUUCACCCCAUUCGUAUUACUGAGGGUUUUGAGAUGGCUGCUAAAUACGCAAUAGAUCAUCUUGAUAAUAUCAGUGACAAAUAUCAAGUGCUUUGCCGUCAGUGACUUCAUUUGGAAGCAGUGAAUUUGAACGACAUCCUAGAGUUUGGGAAAGUUUGGACGCCUCUGGUAUAGUAGCAUUAUCCACCCUCAAUGUAGUUUUCUUGUAUCCACUUGUUUACGGAGGUUUCUUCAAUGUUAUUUAUCCUCCUUGGACUGCACCCGAGCCCACUCCAGCAGAGAUGCUUACAACUGUUGAAUUCACCAAAUUUUGUUACGAAAAUAAUAAACUGUCUGAGGAUUGUGUUUGAUCACGAAUGGUUGCAGUUUCAUUAUAGCGUUGAUUACAAUUACCUUUUAUCAUCAAACAAGUUCAAUUGUGAUUACAAUUUAAAUUUCGUUAAGUGUUGGUUAUACAAUUGUAUAAUUUAAGAUUGAAUGGGAGGCCGCAAUCUAGUUAACUGGACCAUUAACGAACCAGUAAGGUUCUUUUUCCGGAUACCGAUCAUCCUAGGUCGUAGCUUUUCUCCCAUCCAUGAGAUUCUAUCAACCAAAAAUGAUCUUUAAGAAUGAAAUCAUGAAAUAAUGCUGUCUAUAGUGGAAAGCUAUUUCGAAAUAUUUCGAGGAUCGAAAAGUGGAAAUUCUGACUGCAAUGUCCUUAUUACCAACAAUUACUGCAUUCACGAGGUUAAUGUCACAAUAUUAUGAUUACAAGGCUCAUAAUGUACAUUUCCAAAUAAAACUGGAAUAAGAAAACUUUUAGACACUUUCGAAUUCAGUAAAAUUUAAUUUCUAAUCUAAAUAUUCCCAUGUAGCGCUAAGAUCCGGCAUCAAUUACCCGUUUAUUAAGAGGACUCCACACGUGGCUGGCGAAGGACUUCUGGAAGAGGAUGUGGUGAUUCGCACGUUUCCAAGUGAAGCAAAUGUGUAUCAUGAAAACACCGAAUUUACUAAGAAAAUGACCUCGGAACUGGAAAGCUCUUGUGGUUCAUCGAAAUCAUCAUUUGAUAAGACAGACGUCGUUAUGUUAACAUUGAUAGAGAAGGAUAUUGAUAAUGUUACUUCCAACAUUAUCAAAUCUAUUAAAGUCGAUCCUCUUUCAGUUGAUUUUUAUCCUCACAAACUGACCAUGGAACAGUUCAAAGAUCAUAUGGAAUACAGAAUACCCAAUAAAAACAGUGAAUAUUGUAGAUCUAUCUGCGAUAAUCUUACCAGAGAUAUCCAGGUAGAUCCUGUGGAUUACAGUUAUUUUCAUAGAUGGUGUACUUAAA